UUUUUUAAUUGGGGUAGCCCCCAAAAUAUUGGAACAUAUAAAAAAAAUAAACAAUAAGUGUACUUGAGUAUAAAAAUAGCUGGGUGAGGCCAGAAUAAAUGUCUAUUCUGCACAAGGUAGGAUCCAUGCCUGGUUUAUUUUAAUAAACGUGAGCUUGUCCACGUUGGCCAAGGACAGGCGGCUGCGCUUAUCUGUGAUAACCUUGUGCCAAUCGCACAUCCCCGUGACUGCGACAACGCAUUUGUAUGUCUGCCCUAUCAACUUUCAAUGCUAUUUUCUGUGCCUACCAUGGUGACCACGGAUAACGGGGAAUCGUGGUUCGAUUCCAGAGAGGGAGACUGAGAAACGGCUACCACAUGCAAGGAAAGCAGCAGACGCACAAAUUACCCACUCCCGACACUGGGAGGUAGUGACGACAAAUAACAAUACACUGCUCUUUUGAAGCCCUGUAAUUGUAAAGAGUCCACUUUAAAUCUUUUAACAUGGAUCAGUUGGAGGGCAAGUCUGGUGCAGAGCGACUGACCCAUGCAUGCUGCAGCAGAAACUCCACUA